GAUGAACGCUGGCGGCGUGCCUAAUACAUGCAAGUCGAGCGGUAAGGCCUCUUCGGAGGUACACGAGCGGCGGACGGCUGAGUAACGCGUAGGAACGUACCCCAAAGUGAGGGAUAAGCACCAGAAAUGGUGUCUAAUACCGCAUGUGACCUAAGGAUUAAAGCUUCGGCGCUUUGGGAACGGCCUGCGUUCGAUUAGCUAGUUGGUGAGGUAAAAGCUUACCAAGGCGACGGUCGAUAGCUGGUCUGAGAGGAUGAUCAGCCAGACUGGGACUGAGACACGGCCCAGACUCCUACGGGAGGCAGCAGUAGGGAAUUUUCCACAAUGGGCGAAAGCCUGAUGGAGCAACGCCGCGUGCAGGAUGAAUGCCUUCGGGUUGUAAACUGCUUUUAUAUGUGACGAUUAUGACGGUAGCAUAUGAAUAAGGAUCGGCUAACUCCGUGCCAGCCGCCGCGGUAA
rnacentral:rRNA from 1 species